rnacentral:rRNA from 1 species
AACGAACGCUGGUGGCGUGUCUUAUACAUGCAAGUCGAGCGAGGUAGCAAUACCUAGCGGCGAACGGGUGAGUAACGCGUAGGUAACCUGCCUACUAGCGGGGGAUAACUAUUGGAAACGAUAGCUAAUACCGCAUAACAGCAUUUAACCCAUGUUAGAUGCUUGAAAGGAGCAAUUGCUUCACUAGUAGAUGGACCUGCGUUGUAUUAGCUAGUUGGUGAGGUAACGGCUCACCAAGGCGACGAUACAUAGCCGACCUGAGAGGGUGAUCGGCCACACUGGGACUGAGACACGGCCCAGACUCC